GAUGAACGCUGGCGGCGUGCUUAACACAUGCAAGUCGAACGAGAAGUGAAGACGGAAACCUUCGGGCGGAAGGCUUUAUUUCGAGUGGCGGACGGGUGAGUAACGCGUGGGUAACCUGCCUCAUACAGGGGGAUAACAGUUGGAAACGACUGUUAAUACCGCAUAAGACCACAGCACCGCAUGGUGCGGGGGUAAAAACUCCGGUGGUAUGAGAUGGACCCGCGUUCGAUUAGCCAGUAGGCGGGGUAACGGCCCACCAAAGCGACGAUCGAUAGCCGAUCUGAGAGGAUGACCCGCCACAUUGGGACUGAGACACGGCCCAAACUCCUACGGGAGGCAGCAGUGGGGAAUAUUGCACAAUGGGGGAAACCCUGAUGCAGCGACGCCGCGUGAGUGAAGAAGUAUUUCGGUAUGUAAAGCUCUAUCAGCAGGGAAGAAAAUGACGGUACCUGAGUAAGAAGCCCCGGCUAACUACGUG
rnacentral:rRNA from 1 species